rnacentral:misc_RNA from 2 species
GAAAUGCGAUAAGUAGUGUGAAUUGCAGAAUUCAGUGAAUCAUCGAAUCUUUGAACGCACAUUGCGCCCCUUGGUAUUCCAUGGGGCAUGCUUGUUCGAGCGUCAUUUGUACUCUCAAGCUUUGCUUGGUGUUGGGUGUUUGUCCUUGCCUUUGUGCUUGGACUCGCCUUAAAUUCAUUGGCAGCCAAUGUAUUGGUUUGAAGCGCAGCACAAUUUGCGGUUCUCACUGAUCAUCAUUAGCGUCCAUAAAGCACAAUUAACACUUUUGACCUCGGAUCAAGUAGGGAUACCCGCUGAACUUAA